AUUGAACGCUGGCGGCAGGCCUAACACAUGCAAGUCGAGCGGAGAGGCGGACGGGUGAGUAAUGACUAGGAAUCUGCCUGGUAGUGGGGGAUAACGUCAGGAAACGGGCGCUAAUACCGCAUACUAUCAGAAGAGCCUAGGUCGGAUUAGCUAGUUGGUGGGGUAAAGUCCUACCACCGCGACGAUCAGUAACUGGUCUGAGUGGAUGAUCAGUCACACUGGAACUGAGCCACGUUCGAGACUCCUACGGGAGGCAGAAGUGGGGAAUAUUGGACAAUGGGCGAAAGCCUGAUCCAGCCAUGCCGCGUGUGUGAAGAAGGUCUUCGGAUUGUAAAGCACUUUAAGUUGGGAGGCGUUACCAACAGAAUAAGCACCGUCUAACUUCGUGCCAGCAGCCGCGGUAAUAC
rnacentral:rRNA from 1 species